AACGUACGCUGGCGGCACGCCUAACACAUGCAAGUCGAACGAAGUAGCAAUACUUAGUGGCAGACGGGUGAGUAACAUGUGGGUAUCUACCCUUUGGCCUGGAAUAACACGAGGAAACUUGUGCUAAUACCGGAUAAGUCUUUACGGAGAAAGCUUUAUGCACCAUUGGAUGAGCCCGCACUUGAUUAGUUUGUUGGUAGGGUAAUGGCCUACCAAGACUAUGAUCAAUAGCUGAUUUGAGAGGAUGAUCAGCCACAUUGGGACUGAGACACGGCCCAAACUCCUACGGGAGGCAGCAGUGGGGAAUCUUGCACAAUGGAGGAAACUCUGAUGCAGCGAUGCCGCGUGAGUGAAGAAGGCCCUUGGGUUGUAAAGCUCUUUCGUCGGGGAAGAAAAUGACUGUACCCGAAUAAGAAGGUCCGGCUAACUUCGUGCCAGCAGCCGCGGUAAUACGAAGGGACCUAGCGUAGUUCGGAAUUACUGGGCUUAAAGAGUUCGUAGGUGGUUGAAAAAGUUGGUGGUGAAAUCCCAGAGCUUAACUCUGGAACUGCCAUCAAAACUUUUCAGCUAGAGUAUGAUAGAGGAAAGCAGAAUUUCUAGUGUAGAGGUGAAAUUCGUAGAUAUUAGAAAGAAUACCAAUUGCGAAGGCAGCUUUCUGGAUCAUUACUGACACUAGGAACGAG
rnacentral:rRNA from 1 species